GCUUAACACAUGCAAGUCGAACGGUAACAGGCCUUCGGGCGCUGACGAGUGGCGGACGGGUGAGUAACGCGUAGGAAUCUGCCUUAUAGUGGGGGACAACGUGGGGAAACCCACGCUAAUACCGCAUACGCCCUACGGGGGAAAGGAGGGGAUCUUCGGGCCUUUCGCUAUGAGAUGAGCCUGCGUUAGAUUAGCUAGUUGGUAGGGUAAAGGCCUACCAAGGCGACGAUCUAUAGCUGGUCUGAGAGGACGAUCAGCCACACUGGGACUGAGACACGGCCCAGACUCCUACGGGAGGCAGCAGUGGGGAAUAUUGGACAAUGGGCGAAAGCCUGAUCCAGCAAUACCGCGUGUGUGAAGAAGGCCUUAGGGUUGUAAAGCACUUUCAAUUGGGAGGAAAACCUGCCGGUCAAUACCCGGUAGCCUGACAUUACCUUUAGAAGAAGCACCGGCUAACUCCGUGCCAGCAGCCGCGGUAAUACGGAGGGUGCGAGCGUUAAUCGGAAUUACUGGGCGUAAAGCGUGCGUAGGUGGUUCGUUAAGUCAGAUGUGAAAGCCCUGGGCUCAACCUGGGAACUGCAUUUGAAACUGGCGGACUAGAGUUUAGUAGAGGGGAGUGGAAUUUCAGGUGUAGCGGUGAAAUGCGUAGAUAUCUGAAGGAACACCAGUGGCGAAGGCGACUCCCUGGACUAAAACUGACGCUGAGGUACGAAAGCGUGG
rnacentral:rRNA from 1 species